rnacentral:lncRNA from 1 species
CAUUGGGCUUCUACAAAAUUUGCCACAAAAGGGCCCAAAUGCACUUAAUCUAAUUAAGGUUUCUAAAAAAACGAAAAUACAACUUUAUAAAAAUGAAAAUGGCUAAAUGUUGAGUCUUGAAUAAUUAUGCCACCAUCCCUAAUGCUCCAAUUGAUGUUUCCCAAAAUUUCCCUGCAACCAAAAUACACUUAAUCAGCUCAUAAAACCCAAAUUAGCACAAUUACAAAUUUCUGACCAAAUUAAGCAGAAUUCGGAAAAC